rnacentral:rRNA from 1 species
GAACGCUGGCGGCAUGCCUAACACAUGCAAGUCGAACGAACCCUUCGGGGUUAGUGGCGCACGGGUGCGUAACGCGUGGGAAUCUGCCCUUAGGGUUCGGAAUAACAGUUAGAAAUGACUGCUAAUACCGGAUGAUGUCUUCGGACCAAAGAUUUAUCGCCCAGGGAUGAGCCCGCGUAGGAUUAGGUAGUUGUGGGGUAAAGGCCUACCAAGCCGACGAUCCUUAGCUGGUCUGAGAGGAUGAUCAGCCACACUGGGACUGAGACACGGCCCAGACUCCUACGGGAGGCAGCAGUGGGGAAUAUUGGACAAUGGGCGCAAGCCUGAUCCAGCAAUGCCGCGUGAGUGAUGAAGGCCUUCGGGUCGUAAAGCUCUUUUACCCGGGAUGAUAAUGACAGUACCGGGAGAAUAAGCUCCGGCUAACUCCGUG